GUUGUAUGGUUAAGUGACUAAGCGUACACGGUGGAUGCCUUGGCAGUUGGAGGCGAUGAAGGACGUAUUAACUUGCGAUAAGCCUAGUCAAGCUAGUAAAAAGCACUUGAGACUAGGAUUUCCGAAUGGGGAAACCCACCUGCUUGCAGGUAUCGUUAACUGAAUACAUAGGUUAACGAGGCGAACGCGGAGAACUGAAACAUCUAAGUACCCGUAGGAAAAGAAAUCAACCGAGAUUCCGAUAGUAGCGGCGAGCGAAAUCGGAACAGCCCUUAAGCUUAUUAUGUGUUAAUGGAAGGCUCUGGAAAGUGCCACGAUACAGGGUGAUAGUCCCGUACAUGAAAAUGCAUUUUAAGUGAAAUCGAGUAGGUCGGAGCACGUGAAACUUUGACUGAAUAUAGGUGGACCAUCAUCUAAGGCUAAAUACUCCCAACUGACCGAUAGUGAACCAGUACCGUGAGGGAAAGGCGAAAAGAACCCCUGUGAGGGGAGUGAAAUAGAACCUGAAACCGUGUACGUACAAGCAGUAGGAGCCCACUUGUUGGGUGACUGCGUACCUUUUGUAUAAUGGGUCAGCGACUUAUAUUUUGUAGCGAGGUUAACCGAUUAGGGUAGCCGUAGGGAAACCGAGUCUUAACUGGGCGAAUAGUUGCAAGGUAUAGACCCGAAACCCGGUGAUCUAGCCAUGGGCAGGUUGAAGGUUGAGUAACAUCAACUGGAGGACCGAACCCACUAACGUUGAAAAGUUAGGGGAUGACCUGUGGUUAGGAGUGAAAGGCUAAUCAAACCGGGAGAUAGCUGGUUCUCCCCGAAAUCUAUUUAGGUAGAGCCUCGGACGAAUACUUACGGGGGUAGAGCACUGUUAAGGCUAGGGGGUCAUCCCGACUUACCAACCCUUUGCAAACUCCGAAUACCGUAAAGUACUAUCCGGGAGACACACGGCGGGUGCUAACGUCCGUCGUGAAGAGGGAAACAACCCAGACCGCCAGCUAAGGUCCCAAAGUCAUAGUUAAGUGGGAAACGAUGUGGAAAGGCCCAGACAGCCAGGAGGUUGGCUUAGAAGCAGCCAUCCUUUAAAGAAAGCGUAAUAGCUCACUGGUCGAGUCGGUCUGCGCGGAAGAUGUAACGGGGCUAAACUAUGCACCGAAGCUGCGGAUUCAUCUUAGGAUGAGUGGUAGGGGAGCGUUCUGUAAGCGGUUGAAGGUGUACCGGGAGGUAUGCUGGACGUAUCAGAAGUGCGAAUGCUGACAUGAGUAACGAUAAUGCGGGUGAAAAACCCGCACGCCGGAAGACCAAGGGUUCCUAUCCCAUGUUAAUCAGGGUAGGGUAAGUCGACCCCUAAGGCGAGGCCGAAAGGCGUAGUCGAUGGGAAACGGAUUAAUAUUUCCGUACUUGGUAUAAUUGCGAUGGGGGGACGGAGCAGGCUAAGCAAGCAUGGCGAUGGUAGUCCAUGUGAAAGUGUGUAGGCUAGUGACUUAGGUAAAUCCGGGUUGCUGUUAGGCUGAGACACGAGACGAGCACCCAAGGGUGUGAAGUUGCUGAUGCCAUACUUCCAGGAAAAGCCUCUAAGCUUCAGAUUAUACCGAAUCGUACCCCAAACCGACACAGGUGGUCAGGUAGAGAAUACUAAGGCGCUUGAGAGAACUCGGGUGAAGGAACUAGGCAAAAUCGUACCGUAACUUCGGGAGAAGGUACGCUCCGAUUGGUGAUGAGACUUGCUCUCUAAGCUGAUUGGAGCCGCAGUGACCAGGUGGCUGGGACUGUUUAUUAAAAACACAGCACUGUGCAAAAUCGCAAGAUGACGUAUACG
rnacentral:rRNA from 1 species